CUGGCUCUCCCCUUGAACACUGAGCAGAAGGCUGGGGCUGAGGGAGGCAGAGGAGAGGGGAAAGCAGGCUGGAGAAGAGGCAGGGAGAGGAAGAGCUGAGGCCGGAUAGAACCUCCAAGGCUGAAGGGGGACAAGGAAGACGGCAGGCCAGAUGAAACUGGAGGAAGAAAGUUUCACAUCAAAAGUUAGGAAGGAAUGUACUUAUGAAGAAAGACGUGGAGCUGAUGGAGGCAGAGAACAAUUCCACAGUGAUGAUGGAAAUGCUGGGAUACUUCAAAGAUUGGGAUGAUGGGGACAAUAGAAGGCAAGAUGGGUGUAAAAGGAAUUAAGGAAAGCUGCAGAUGUUUAAAUGGAGAAAAAUGUUUUUAGCAAAUAAGAUUGGAGUGUAUGCUAAUGGACCAGCUUUACACCACUCUGUGGAUGUAAAGCUGGUUUGGACAGAUGCUGGCAUCCAAUCAGGCAACAGGACCACUUCCCUUGUCAUAAUGAGAGCAGUGACAUCAUGUUAAGGGCGAGCGGAGAGAAGACAGCGGAGCUGCAGACAGGGAGCGGGGCUGCAUGCGCGGCGCUGCGCGGCCCAACCAGAGGCACGGCGGUCGGCUGGAAUGCGCGCGGACUACCGGGUUAUGGAGCGCAGCUGUGCGGGGAUGGGAGCCGGGGGCGCUGCCCCCCAACUGACCGACAACUGCCUGUUCGGAUGAAGCGAAAGUCGGAUAUGGAGGAGCUGGGACGCGCGUAAUGUCAUCCUGUUUAGAAUUUCUGCCGAGGAAUAGGAGAAGAGGACAACACCCAAACUGGCAUGAUGUAACAGGAGAGUGAAAACGCAGCCAGGAGCCCCCAGUGAUGCAGCAACUAGAUGGAAAAUGGGAUCUGGUGAUGCUGAUGACAUAAUAUCAGACCAACUCAAGAGACAAAAGAUGGAUCCAUAAAAGCAAAUGGAAGACUUGCUGUCAGAGCUAACAAGGAUUUCUAAGUGAAGAGAAGAGACUCAAUAACUAACAGAAUUUUUUUUGAUGUUUCUUGAAAUUGCUUAUUCCUUUUUUUCACCUGUUAAAAUUUUUAUUUAGAUUAACAGUGCAUUUUGCAUGUUUACGAUGCCAUAUCUUCUUGCCGUGUUUGAAUAAACUGAAGAUAAUAUUGCUUUUCCCAUUUAAUUGAUUGUCGUCAUUCUUCCCUUGUUAGAUCAGGGGUUUCCAUGACUGAGAGGCGUUUUUUGCUCUAUUGUUUCCUUACACAAUGACAAACUUUGCAUCCAAAGAAAACAAAAAUGACUGCAUCUUUACUGUUUUAGUUUUCUAACCAAAUCUUCAGGUUUAAAAUGUUUUUAUAUUCAUUGAUACUAGAUGCAUAGCAUUUAAAUGACCUUUUUCUUUAAACAUUACCGGUUUACUCAAAAAGUGGGUGUUUAGAAUAUGAUUGUAGAAAUGUUUGAAUAAGAAUGAGUCAUUUGUCACAUUUCUUGUGAUUUAUUUUCUGUU